rnacentral:rRNA from 1 species
GAUCAUGGCUCAGAUUGAACGCUGGCGGCAGGCCUAACACAUGCAAGUCGAACGGUAACAGGAAACAGCUUGCUGUUUCGCUGAAGAGUGGCGGACGGGUGAGUAAUGUCUGGGAAACUGCCUGAUGGAGGGGGAUAACUACUGGAAACGGUAGCUAAUACCGCAUAAUGUCGCAAGACCAAAGAGGGGGACCUUCGGGCCGUCUUGCCAUCGGAUGUGCCCACGAUGGGAUUAGCUAGUAGGG